rnacentral:lncRNA from 1 species
AUUUGUUCCUUCUGGAAUUUUAGUGAAUGUGGACAAGGUUAUGCUUCAGUUGCCUUAACUAGUUGCCUUGGCAUCAUUAAUAAGUUUUCUUUUCCUCUACUGAUUUGAAAUGCCAUUUUUAAUGUAUUCCCUAACAUAUUUGGGUCUGUUUCUGGAUCCUCUAACCCACUGUUCUAGAGAGAAAGGUGAUCGUUUUAGAUUAUUUGUCUCUCUGUAAUCUAAAAUCCAAGGUACACGCUGGGCACAGUGGCUCACACGUGUAAUCCUAGCACUUUCGGAGGCUGAGGCAGGUGGAACAGUUGAGGACAGAAGUUCGAGACCAGCCUGACCAACAUGGCGAAACUCUGUUUCUACUAAAAAUACAAAAAUUAGCUGGGCAUGGUGACACGUGCCUGUAGUCCCAGCUACUCGGGAGGCUGAGGCAAGAGAAUCGCUUGAACCCGGGAGGUGGAGGUUGCAGUGAGCCGAGAUUGCGCCACUGCACUCCAUCCCCCGGGCGACAGAGUGAGACUCCAUCUCAAAAAAAAGAAAAAAAAAGGCCAGGCGCGGUGACUCACGCCUGUAAUCCCAGUACUUUGAGAGGCUGAGACGGGAGGAUCACGAGAUCAAGAGAUGGAGACCAUCCUGGCCAACAUGGUGAAACCCCGUCUCUACUAAAAAUACAAAAAUUAGCUGGGCGUAGUGGCGCGCGCCUGUAGUCCCAGCUACUCCAGAGGCUGAGGCAGAAGAAUCGCUUGAACCCGGGAGGCGGAGGUUGCAGUGAGCCGAGAUUGCGCCACUGUGCUCCAGCCUGGCGACAGAGUGAGACUCCGUCUAAAAAAAAAAAAAAAAAAAUCCAAGGUGGAGUCCUGGCUUGAUCCUAUGUGAAUUCUAAUAUUUAAGAUUUCAGGCCGGGCGCGGUGGCUCAGGCCUGUAAUCCCAGCACUUUGGGAGGCCCAGGGGGGUGGAUCACAAGGUCAGGAAAUCGAGAGCAUGCUGGCUAACACGGUGAAACUCCGUCUCUGCUAAAAAUACAAAAAAUUAGCCCGGCGUGGUGGGGGGUGCCUGUAGUCCCAGCUACUCGGGAGGCUGAGGCAGGAGAAUGGCGUGAACCCGGGAGGUGGAGCUGGCAGUGAGCCGAGAUCGCGCCACUGCACUCCAGCCUGGGCGACAGAGCGAGACUCCGUCUCAACAAAAAAAAGAUUUCACUAGGAAAUUGUAAUAUCAGUAGUAACAGGCAAUUUUAAGCUUCUAAUAAAAGUGUAUUGAAUUUUAGCCUUUCUUCAGAUGAACUGGUUGACUUCAGGUACAGCAGAUGGUCUUUUACUAGGACCAGAUUUACUUCUUCCAAAGUUGGAAGGGCUCUUUAAAGGCCCCAUCCUUUACGUAUGCCUUAAGAUACUUUUUUCCAUUCACUUAAAUUCUUUGAUGACUGAAACUAAACCAUUAGGAAAUCUUUUAUUUGGACUGAGAUUAUCUGCUAUUGAAGUACAAGUUUAACCUGUACUCUAUAGGCGAUGUGUACAUUGGACCUACGUGAAGGCAACCACCAGCAUAAGUACUAGAGUCACAUUGCCUGGAUUAAAUUCUGGCUUUGCCUAAAUGUGUGGCCUUACACAAGUUAAUCUUUCUGGGUCUCAGUACCCUUACAUGUAAAAUGGGGAUAAUCUUAGUUUUGAGCAUUAAAUAUAUGUAACAUGCUAAUAGGGUGCAAGAUGCAUAAUGAAUGCUCAAUUAUUUUAGCAUUAUUAUUGGCUUAAGACUGCCAAGUAAGAAGUACUCAUUCAGGUUACCUUAAACAAAAAAGGGGAAGUGGGGAAAUUAUAAUUAAUAGGAGUAUUUAACAGAUUCCAAAGGUAGGAAGUAUAGUUUGGGCUUCAAAGGAUACUAGAAUUUCAAAGAUAGAACAUGAUCAGAAAGAUUUUCUGUUUCUUCUUUAUCAUCUCUGUUUCUCACUGCCUUUAUUCUUUUCUUUUCUUUUUUUUUUUUUUUUUGAGAUGGAGUUUCGCUCUUGUUGCCCAGGCUGGAGUGCAAUGUGCGAUCUCGGCUCACCGCAACCUCCGCCUCCCGGGUUCAAGUGAUCCUCCUGCUUCAGCCCCCCUCCAUAGCUGGGAUUAUAGGCACACACCAGCAUGCCCUGCUAAUUUUAGUAUUUUUAGUAGAGACAGGGUUUCGCCAUGUUGGCCAGGCUGGUCUGGAACUCCUGACGUCAGGUGAUCCACCUGCCUUGGCCUCCCAAAGUCGUUGGAUUACAGGCGUGAGCCACUGUGCCUGGCCUAUAACACUAUUUCUUAAAACAAAACAAAAAGACCAAAGAACAAGCUUUAAACAACCAAAAUGACUGAAAAGACAUCAGUAUCUCUCACUAGUGGUGUGAAUUAAGUUUGUUUACUUGCAUAACUAAGAAUAAAUGAUGGUUAUAAUGGCACCAGUAUAGGAUAUCUUGGCUAUGUGCUUUAACAAUAUACAGGUUGACCAUGAAGUCUGGAAAUAGAUACUAUUAUUUUAUCAUGUAUUUAAAUAUAUUAAUAAAC